rnacentral:snRNA from 1 species
UUUGUAAAGAAAAGUGUAUA